CCCCAGCGCCACAAGUGGCAAUCGCGAUUAUUGGGUCUAAAGCGUCCGUAGCCGGUCUGAUAAAUCUCUUGUGAAAUCGUUGGACUUAACCUAACGAAUGGCAGGAGACACUGUCAGACUUGAGACCGGAAGGUGUGUGCAGUAUGGUGUGGGGAACGGUAAAAUGUGAUAAUCCACACUAGACUACCAAUGGCGAAGGCAGCACACAAGGACGGAUCUGACGGUGAGGGACGAGAGCUAGGGGAGCGAUCCG
rnacentral:rRNA from 1 species